GAAAAUCAGCUAUAUUUUUUACUGCUACACAAGUGAAGUGGAAAAUUCUCCCACCUUCAUCACCAGGCUGUCUGCCAGGGGAAGAAGUCCAAGGAAGGUGCUAGGUGGAGAAGUAACAGAAGCCACAGAUGGGCUUCUCAAGCUGUGGUCCACACGUCACCUGGAUCGGAACAAUCUGCAGUGCUUAAAAUGUAGCCCCCAACAUUCUGGAGUGGAAAAAAAACCUUCGUGGAAAAAAACCUUCCCUGCAGAGAAGUGAGACUGCAUGUGCGCCCUCCUUCAUAAGUGCUGAACUUGCUACAGAAAGGUGGCUGCAUGUGAACAGCUGCUGUGAGCCUUGUUUGCUGGCUGCUGGCACCAAUCUACGUCCUCCCCACUCCUCAGUCAAUGCAUAGACGUCCAGGAGGGAAGAGAAUUACCUGAAGGGAUGCCUCCUCCAAACCCUCCAUCUUGACAAGAGCCAC